UACGAAGGGUGCAAGCGUUAAUCGGAAUUACUGGGCGUAAAGCGUGCGUAGGCGGUUUCUUAAGUCCGUUGUGAAAGCCCUGGGCUCAACCUGGGAACUGCACAGGAAACUAGCGGGCUUGAGUUCGGGAGAGGGAAGCGGAAUUCCGGGUGUAGCGGUGAAAUGCGUAGAUAUCCGGAGGAACACCAAUAGCGAAGGCAGCUCGCUGGGACGGUACUGACGCUGAGGCGCGAAAGCGUGGGGAGCGAACGGG
rnacentral:rRNA from 1 species